ACCUUCUAAUAACAUUUUGUCAUCGAUAUUAUUAUAUUUAUUAAAGAGACAGCAUAGCUAAUUGAUUAAGGAUGAGACUGUAUGAAUAUAAAUCCCAAGUUUACAACAAAUCUAUUAAUAGUAGCAGUGUGACAUUAAAGAGAUUUAUUAACCACUCUAAGCUUCAGUUUCCUUGGUGUAUUAGUCUGUUUUCAUGGUGCAAAUAAAGACAUACCUGAGACUGGGUAAUUUAUACAGGAAAAAGGGUUUAAUGAACUUACAGUUCCACGCAGCUGGGGAGGCCUCACCAUCAUGGUGUGACGCAAGGAGGAACAAGUCACGUCUUACAUGGAUGGCAGCAGGCAAAAAGAGAGAGCUUGUGCAGGGAAACUGCCGUUUAAAACCAUUAGAUCUUGUGAGACUUAUUCACUAUGGUGAGAACAGCAUGGGAAAGACUCGCCCCCCGUGAUUCAAUUACCUCCCACCAGGUUCUUCCCACGACAUGUGGGAAUUGUGAGAGUUACAAUUCAAAAUGAGAUUUGGGUGGGGACACAGCCAAACCAUAUUACUUGGUUACAAAAUAAUAACAUUUACUUCUAGGAGAAUUAUAUAAGAUGAGGCCUGUGACGUGCUUAAAAUGUGUCUGGCACAUAAUAAAUACUCAAUAAAUGUGAGUCCUUAUACACAUAUGAAAGUCAAUAUUCGCAUCUUUUGCCAGAUUGAAUCCUCUCUCCUGUCAUCAUGUGGAGCUGAAUGAAAAUGAUCAGGUGAGGGUGGGAGGAGGUGUGGUAGAACUACACAUCCCAAAGAUGGACACGUUCUAAUUCUCCCAAAUUUCUAAGAAUAUGUUACCUUACAUGGCAAAAGAGACUUUGCCCAUUUGAUUAAGUUAUGGAUCUCAGGCCAGGUGCAAUGCUCACACCUGUAAUACCAGCAUUUUGGGAGGCCGAGGUGUGGGCAGAUCGCUUGAGCCCAGGAUCCUGG
rnacentral:lncRNA from 1 species